rnacentral:rRNA from 1 species
CCUACGGGAGGCAGCAGUAGGGAAUCUUCCGCAAUGGACGAAAGUCUGACGGAGCAACGCCGCGUGAACGAUGAAGGCCUUCGGGUCGUAAAGUUCUGUUGUUAGGGAAGAACAAGUGCUAGUUGAAUAAGCUGGCACCUUGACGGUACCUAACCAGAAAGCCACGGCUAACUACGUGCCAGCAGCCGCGGUAAUACGUAGGUGGCAAGCGUUGUCCGGAAUUAUUGGGCGUAAAGCGCGCGCAGGCGGUUUCUUAAGUCUGAUGUGAAAGCCCCCGGCUCAACCGGGGAGGGUCAUUGGAAACUGGGAAACUUGAGUGCAGAAGAGGAAAGUGGAAUUCCAAGUGUAGCGGUGAAAUGCGUAGAGAUUUGGAGGAACACCAGUGGCGAAGGCGACUUUCUGGUCUGUAACUGACGCUGAGGCGCGAAAGCGUGGGGAGCAAACAGGAUUAGAUACCCUGGUAGUCCACGCUGUAAACGAUGAGUGCUAAGUGUUAGAGGGUUUCCGCCCUUUAGUGCUGAAGUUAACGCAUUAAGCACUCCGCCUGGGGAUACGGUCGCAAGACUGAAACUCAAAAGAUAGUACGGCGNGNGACGACGACGACGACGACGACGGAGAGGAG